rnacentral:rRNA from 1 species
UCCUACGGGAGGCAGCAGUGGGGAAUAUUGCACAAUGGGCGAAAGCCUGAUGCAGCAACGCCGCGUGAGCGAAGAAGGCCUUCGGGUCGUAAAGCUCUGUCCUAAGGGAAGAAAAAUGACGGUACCUUAGGAGGAAGCCCCGGCUAACUACGUGCCAGCAGCCGCGGUAAUACGUAGGGGGCGAGCGUUAUCCGGAAUCACUGGGCGUAAAGGGUGCGUAGGCGGCCAAAUAAGCCAGGGGUGAAAGGCUGCGGCUCAACCGCAGUAAGCCUUUGGAACUGUAUGGCUUGAGUGCAGGAGAGGAGAGUGGAAUUCCUAGUGUAGCGGUGAAAUGCGUAGAUAUUAGGAGGAACACCAGUGGCGAAGGCGACUCUCUGGACUGCAACUGACGCUGAGGCACGAAAGCGUGGGGAGCGAACAGGAUUAGAUACCCUGGUAGUCCACGCCGUAAACGAUGAGUGCUAGGUGUCGGGGGUUCACACCCUCGGUGCCGGAGUUAACGCAUUAAGCACUCCGCCUGGGGAGUACGGUCGCAAGACUGAAACUCAAAGGAAUUGACGGAAUCGA